rnacentral:ncRNA from 1 species
CUAAAAGCGUCGAUGGGGACGAGUAGCCGAGAUGUAGGGCUACAGAGAGCCGCGUUGCUGGGAUGCGGUGCUCGAACCUCGGUGAAAAAGCCCCCGGAGCUGCAGGCUGAACCUCGAUGGGCCAGAAUGCCCAGGCGUCAGUAGGCCGAGCCGGUGUCAGCCACCGUUACCAGGCUGGGAGUAUGAAGCCCUGCUCUAGGGUGGAGUACUUCGUGAGGUCGUCAUCGUGAGGUGGCGACGAACAGGGGUGGUACCACGGGAAGCAACGAUCUCCCGUCCCCGGC